UGGAGUGGAAAGAGGAGGGGCUUCAAGUUUUAUCUUACAUUUGGACACCAACGCAAUGCAUCUUAAAUAUGAGACUCUUCUAUGUUCUUCUAUUUUGAGCUUUAUUAAAAUGUCUUCAGGCUCUCAGACCACAGGCAAUCAUUCCAGUGAAGGUUAUAAUGAAAACAUAUGGAUUCCUGUCAUCGUAAUCCUCUGUGAAGCAUUACUGCUUUCUAUUGCUGUAAAUGUCUACUUCAUUUGCAUGACGAGAUAUAGAGAGCCGUGCCAGAACUUUUACACAAAUUAUAUUGCUGUCUGGUGUAGUUACGGCACACCAAAUGAGCCUGAGCAAUCAGAUGACCAGGUUCAAGCUGACACACAAUACUCUGCAAUAAGCGAUUUCAGAGAGAAAAGAGAGUGUGAGGGACAAUCAGAAGAGAACUCCAUAGAGUGUGUGUACUCUGAUGUAAAAAUACUCUAGAACGGAGACCUCAUCAUAAACAUAUGCUAAAAUUGGUGAUAUUCAGCUUUUGUUCUUCUCUUUGUUAUUGUUUUGCAUUUUAGGCCACGUUCACACAGAAGCAGAAUAUGGUUUGAGUCAUUAUUACCGUUACGUCCACACACAGUACGGUUAUUUAUGGGAGUGACUAUUUACGGGAGUAAGUAAAUGCUUUGACUGUUUGAACGUGGCCUUAGUUUAAUUUUGACUAUGUAAUUUCUAAUGUAUAUGUGAUAUGCCAGCAUAAAUCAUUUAUAAUAAAUAGCCUACUGCAACAUUCAAAAAAGGAGAGAGAGAGUGAUGCUUUUGAGCUCCGCUGACAGAUUAUACCAGUUUUGGGUGGACCGUGAUAGUUAAAGCUGCAGUCCGUAACUUUUUUUGUUUAAAAAUGAUCAAAAAUCAAUUUGAGCAAGUACAUAACCAGCCAGUGUUCAAAACUAUCUCCUUACCUUAGCCCAGUUCACAACAGUAAGCUUGUAAUAAUGUUUUAUAAUAAAUAAAUCGGUACUGGUGGGUUUCCGCGGGAAAUUUGAGCAUGCAGCCGUUCGUCUUUGCGUCAAUACGUCACAUCUGUAAACAGAAAGGAUGGAGUCCCUGAUAGUAGACGAUGCAUUUAGGAUCCUGCAGGUAGCAAAUCAUUUAUAGCCUUUUCUCACAGCAGCUGAAAUAAUUAAACUAUCAUUUUGAUGGCGGAUUGUAAUCCAGAAAGGUCCAAAUGACAAUCAUCAGUGACAACUGGAAAUUAACCCGUAAUCAAAAGCAAAAGACUUCGGACUGCGGAGUGGCUACAGAAAUUGAAAUCUACAAGGUAACACUAACACACUAAAUACACAUAGUCACGCAAUGCUGGUGUUGUUAACAUUAAAGGGAUAGUUCACCCAAAAAUGAAAAUUUGAUGUUAUCUGCUUACCUCCAGGGCAUCCAAGAUGUAGGUGACUUUGUUUCUUCAGUAGAACACAAAUGAUGAUUUUUAACUCCAACCGUUGUGGUCUGUCAGUCGUAUAAUGCUUGUCAAUGGUAACUCCAUCUAUAAGAGUCAAA